ensembl:lncRNA
CACACACACACUCUUCUUACUCCUUUAACUCUCACACUCACACACACUCUUCUUACUCCUUUAACUCUCACACACACACUCUUCUUACUCCUUUAACUCUCACACACACACUCUUCUUACUCCUUUAACUCUCACACACACACACUCUUCUUACUCCUUUAACUCUCACACACACACACACACACUCUUCUUACUCCUUUAACUCUCACACACACACACACACUCUUCUUACUCCUUUAACUCUCACACACACACUCUUCUUACUCCUUUAACUCUCACUCACACCCUCCAGCAAAAAAGGCUCAGUUGGACGACCUGGCUCUGAGGUCACCGUCUAGAUUCCUCGCGGUUGAUUGGCUGGCAUGGCCAGUGAGUGGUUUCCAUGGCGACAUCUGGUGGUAUCCAUGGCGACAUCAGGUGGUAUCCAUGGCGACAUCUGGUGGUAUCCAUGGCGACAUCAGGUGGUAUCCAUGGCGACAUCUGGUGGUAUCCAUGGCGACAUCAGGUGGUAUCCAUGGCGACAUCUGGUGGUAUCCAUGGCGACAUCAGGUGGUAUCCAUGGCGACAUCUGGUGGUAUCCAUGGCGACAUCAGGUGGUAUCCAUGGCGACAUCUGGUGGUAUCCAUGGCGACAUCAGGUGGUAUCCAUGGUGACAUCCUCCGGUGUCUCGACUCCACAGAAGUCCAUGAUCACAUUAUCAGACGUCUCUUCCCACGGGGUUACAGCCAAUCAGAAGGCAUUAUCAGACGUCUCUUCCCACAGGGUUACAGCCAAUCAGAAGGCAUUAUCAGACGUCUCUUCCCACGGGGUUACAGCCAAUCAGAAGGCAUUAUCAGACGUCUCCUCCCACGGGGUUACAGCCAAUCAGAAGGCAUUAUCAGACGUCUC